rnacentral:rRNA from 1 species
CCCCAGUUGGGGGGUGGGCGCCUGCGGCUUUCGGGACUGUAGAUAACCUUGGUCCCAUCACACGCCCCCCGUGGCAGUGACAACCCAUUCAAACGUCUGCCCUAUCAACUUUUGAUGGCAGUCGCCAUGCUAACCAUGGUGCCCAUGGGUGACGGCAUCAGGGUUCAAUUCCAGAGAGGGAGCCUGAAAAAUGGUGACCACAUCCAGGGAAGGCAGCAGGCACGCAAGUUACCUACUCCGGACCUGGGGAGGUAGUGAUGAAAAAUAAUACAGGACUCUUUUGAGGUCCUGUAAUGGGAAUGAGUCCACUUUAAAUCCUUUAAUGAGGAUCCAUUGGAGGGCAAGUCUGGUGCCAGUAGCUGCAGUAAUUCCAGCUCCAAUAGCGUAUAUUAAAGAUACUGCAGUUAAAAAGCUCCUAGUUGGAUCUUGGGGGCUGGUGGUGCCAACGCUAUGCUCUUAGCUGAGUGUACUGUGGGGCCGAAGUGUUUGAAAAAAUUAGUGUUCAAAGCAGGCCUGAGCCACCUGGAAGAGGACCGUGGUUCUAUUUUGUGGGUUUUUCAACUGAGGCCAUGAUUAAGAGGGACGGCUGGCAGGCUUUCGUAUUGUGCCACUAGAGACAAGAUGGACCAGAGUGAAAGCAUUUCCCAAGAAUGUUUUCAUUAAUCAAGAACGAAAGUCGGAGGUUUGAAGAUGAUCAGAUACCAUCGUAGUUCCGACCAUAAACAAUACUGAUUGGUGAUGCAGCGGCAUUAUUCCCAUGACCUGCCAGGCAGCUUCUGUGAAACCAAAGUCUUUGGGUUCUGGGGGAAGUAUGGUUGCAAAGCUGAAACUUAAAGGAAUUAAUGGAUGGGCACCACCAGGAGUGGAGCCUGUGGCUUAAUUUGACUCAACACGGGAAACCUCACCCAGACAUGGACAGGAUUGACAGCUCUUGAUUCCGUGAGUGGUGGUGCAUGGCUGUUCUUCGUGCAGCGAUUUGUCUGCCUAAUUCCGAUAAUAAACGAGACUCUGGCAUGCUAACUAGUUAUGCGACCCCAGAGUGGUCAGCGUCCUCAAACUUCUUGGACAAGUGGCAUUCAGCCACCCGAGAUUGAGCAAUAACAGGUCUGUGAUGCCCUUAGAUGUCUGGGGCUGCACGUGCUCAGCGUGUGCCUAGACUAUGCUGGCGGGUACGGGUAACCCCUUGAACCCCAUUUGUGAUGGGGAUGGGGGAUUGCAAUUAUUCCCCAUGAAUGAGCAAUUCCCAGUAAGUGUGGGUCAUAA